ACAAAAUUGACUAAUACUUAAUAGAUUAUGUUUCAAACCAUCUACUAAUAAAAUAUUUUCAAUAUACUUGAAGGGAGUGAUACCAAUGUUACCUAUACUGAUGAUCUUUUCUUUGCUAUUGUCUCCAAAAGUAACCAUUCCUCCAUCUUUUGCAUCAAGUGUGAUGAAUUGAGAUUCAUCAUCGGUUAUGUGUCUUGAGCACCC
rnacentral:lncRNA from 1 species